rnacentral:rRNA from 1 species
GGUUGCGAUCAUACCAUCACUAAUGCACCGGAUCCCAUCAGAACUCCGCAGUUAAGCGUGCUUGGGCGAGAGUAGUACUAGGAUGGGUGACUCCCUGGGAAGUCCCCGUGUUGCAACCC